UACGAAGGGGGCUAGCGUUGUUCGGAGUUACUGGGCGUAAAGCGCACGUAGGCGGACUUGUCAGUCAGAGGUGAAAUCCCGAAGCUUAACUUCGGAACUGCCUUUGAUACUGCAAGUCUUGAGGAUGAGAGAGGUAAGUGGAACUGCGAGUGUAGAGGUGAAAUUCGUAGAUAUUCGCAAGAACACCAGUGGCGAAGGCGGCUUACUGGCUCAUUUCUGACGCUGAGGUGCGAAAGCGUGGGGAGCAAACAGG
rnacentral:rRNA from 1 species